UCCGGCUUAACGCCGGCAGUCUCGCUAGAGUCCUCAGCAUGACCCGUUAGCAACUAGCGACAGGGGUUUCGCUCGUUAAGGGACUUAACCCGACACUUCACAGCACGAGCUGACGACAGCCGUGCAACACCUGUGCACGUUUCACCCCGAAGGGCAACUUCCGGCAUUACCCGGUUGUAUCCGUGCAUGUCAAACCCAGGUAAGGUUCUUCGCGUUGCUUCGAAUUAAGCCACAUGCUCCACCGCUUGUGUGAGCCCCCGUCAAUUCCUUUGAGUUUUAGCCUUGCGGCCGUACUCCCCAGGCGGCACACUUAGCACUUUUGCUACGGCGCCGACAUCGUCAGAGAUACCGGCACCUAGUGUGCAUCGUUUACGGCGUGGACUAC
rnacentral:misc_RNA from 1 species